rnacentral:sRNA from 1 species
GCCAGGCCGACUAAGGGCGGCGGCUACGCCGCCACGGUGGCACAGCCCGUUCUGCCCCGACGUUCGCUUCGGGGUCACAAUGCAAUGUCGUUUUCUGCCGGAUCGUUCGCGAUCCGGCAGCUUUUGCAGUGGAAUGACCAGGCAUGACAGUUUCCAUCACGCGUAACUUGUUAAGAUUCGGAUAAUUUCAACGGAUUAGGCGGCCGGUUCAGCGUCUGUCUGCAUCGUUCAUCCAGACUUCGCAUAUGACCCAGCAACGCACUCUCAAAAACACCAUUCGCGCCACCGGCGUCGGCCUGCACAGCGGCGACAAGGUGU